AGCAGCAAGUUUUUUAUUACACAGAAAGACACUUUAGUAGGUAAAUAUAGGUCUAAUCUAUACAUUACCGAUCUAUUGACUUUUCGAUGUUUGAUAAAGAUUAUCAAAUGGACAAUUAAAUACCGAGCUACCGGCUAUCACUAGUCGAAUGGGAGUUAUGGAUGAAAACAAUGAAAAAAUAUCUUUCCAUCGAUUUCCAGAGCUAAAUAAAAAAUGGGUAUAAAACAUGAGACGAGUAGAUUGGACGCCGUCGAACUUUGCUAGAUUGUGUUCACUGCAUUUCGAACUCUAGAAGAAUUGUGCAAUCUUACGCUUACGUUU